rnacentral:sRNA from 90 species
UAUCUCUCCGUACGGGGAAGGAUGAGAAGCUUCGACUAAGGUUCGAUUCGAGCGAAAGCGAGAAAGCGUUGCCAACGGCAACGACCCGAAGGGCGAAGCGCGCAGCGCUGAGUAAUCCUUCCCCCGUCAUCC